GUAUUGAUUGGUGCUUGCAUCAUGAUUUACAUUUGAGUGAGUGGCGAACUGGUGAGUAACACGUGGGAAACCUGCCCAGAAGCGGGGGAUAACACCUGGAAACAGAUGCUAAUACCGCAUAACAACUUGGACCGCAUGGUCCGAGCUUGAAAGAUGGCUUCGGCUAUCACUUUUGGAUGGUCCCGCGGCGUAUUAGCUAGAUGGUGGGGUAACGGCUCACCAUGGCAAUGAUACGUAGCCGACCUGAGAGGGUAAUCGGCCACAUUGGGACUGAGACACGGCCCAAACUCCUACGGGAGGCAGCAGUAGGGAAUCUUCCACAAUGGACGAAAGUCUGAUGGAGCAACGCCGCGUGAGUGAAGAAGGGUUUCGGCUCGUAAAACUCUGUUGUUAAAGAAGAACAUAUCUGAGAGUAACUGUUCAGGUAUUGACGGUAUUUAACCAGAAAGCCACGGCUAACUACGUGCCAGCAGCCGCGGUAAUACGUAGGUGGCAAGCGUUGUCCGGAUUUAUUGGGCGUAAAGCGAGCGCAGGCGGUUUUUUAAGUCUGAUGUGAAAGCCUUCGGCUCAACCGAAGAAGUGCAUCGGAAACUGGGAAACUUGAGUGCAGAAGAGGACAGUGGAACUCCAUGUGUAGCGGUGAAAUGCGUAGAUAUAUGGAAGAACACCAGUGGCGAAGGCGGCUGUCUGGUCUGUAACUGACGCUGAGGCUCGAAAGUAUGGGUAGCAAACAGGAUUAGAUACCCUGGUAGUCCAUACCGUAAACGAUGAAUGCUAAGUGUUGGAGGGUUUCCGCCCUUCAGUGCUGCAGCUAACGCAUUAAGCAUUCCGCCUGGGGAGUACGGCCGCAAGGCUGAAACUCAAAGGAAUUGACGGGGGCCCGCACAAGCGGUGGAGCAUGUGGUUUAAUUCGAAGCUACGCGAAGAACCUUACCAGGUCUUGACAUACUAUGCAAAUCUAAGAGAUUAGACGUUCCCUUCGGGGACAUGGAUACAGGUGGUGCAUGGUUGUCGUCAGCUCGUGUCGUGAGAUGUUGGGUUAAGUCCCGCAACGAGCGCAACCCUUAUUAUCAGUUGCCAGCAUUAAGUUGGGCACUCUGGUGAGACUGCCGGUGACAAACCGGAGGAAGGUGGGGAUGACGUCAAAUCAUCAUGCCCCUUAUGACCUGGGCUACACACGUGCUACAAUGGAUGGUACAACGAGUUGCGAACUCGCGAGAGUAAGCUAAUCUCUUAAAGCCAUUCUCAGUUCGGAUUGUAGGCUGCAACUCGCCUACAUGAAGUCGGAAUCGCUAGUAAUCGCGGAUCAGCAUGCCGCGGUGAAUACGUUCCCGGGCCUUGUACACACCGCCCGUCACACCAUGAGAGUUUGUAACACCCAAAGUC
rnacentral:rRNA from 1 species